AUUAUGGAGGACACUAGAAAUAGUACUUUUUUACAGAGCAAGGGCUUCCUACCAGCAUAGUCACUUUGAGGGUUUUGAACCUGAAAAGUUCUUUGGCAUAUUUUUUCUUUGCUAGCCACUUUUUUUUCUAUUUUUUUCUUUGAUUGUUUGUUUCUCUUCUCCACUUUAUCAUCUAGAGACCUGGGUGGUUCCCAAUGAAAGAGUGUUUUACAGAUUCUAAGGGUGAUUUAGAGAAUUCUCAAUCGUAAUCCUUUGACAACAGUUGAAGAUUCUUAUCUUUUUAAAUUGCCAGCAUUAAAAUAUUUAGACAUGGGAACAACACAAGUGUCACUUACAACAAUUGAAGGCAUCCUCAUGAUGACCCUUGAAUUGGAAAAACU